AUGAAUCAGACAGUCGUCCUGUACCCCAGCGCCUUAGUCGGCCACGUCGGCCCCAUGACGAAGCUCGCCGGUGCCUUCCUCAAGCACGGCUACGACGUCACCGUGGUGCUCGUUGGCUAUGGCACCACCGCCACCGAUCGUACGGCCAUCGAGGGAAUCGUCGCCUCCAACCCGUCCAUCAGCUUCCAUGUCCUCCGGCCGCCUCCUGCUCCUCCAGCCACCAGCUCCGACAGCAAGCACCCUUUACUGGUCCUGCUCGACCUCUUGCGACGGUGCAACGAGCCGCUCGGAGCCUUCCUCGGCUCCAUACCCCGUCAACGCCUCCACUCCGUGGUCAUUGACAUGUUCUGCGUCGACGCCAUUGACGUCGUCGCCGCGGCCGGCGUCCCGGUGUACACAUUCUUCGCCUCCUGCGCCUCCUGCCUGUCGGCCCUGACCCAGUUCCCGGCGCUGGUCGCCGGCAGGCAGACGGGACUGAAGGAUCUCGGGGACACGCCCCUCGACUUGCUCGGCGUCCCACCGAUGCCAGCGUCUCAUUUCACCGAGGUGAUGCUGGAGCACCCGGAGGGCGAGGUGUGCAAGGCCAUAACGGAGAUCUGGAGGCGCAACACGGAGACCAUGGGGGUCCUGGUGAACACGUUCGAGCAGCUGGAGAGCCGGGCGGUGCGGUCGCUCCGGGACCCAGGCCGGAACAUGCCUGCGGUCUACUGCGUCGGGCCGUUGUUGGCCGGCGCUGGCAACGACAAAGGCAAGGACGGCGUCGACGAGUGCCUUGCGUGGCUGGACGCACAGCCAGACGGCAGCGUGGUGUUCCUCUGCUUCGGAAGCAUGGGCGUGCUCUCGGCGAAGCAGCUCAAGGAGAUGGCCGUCGGGCUGGAGAGGUCCGGGCACCGGUUCCUGUGGUGCGUGCGCGUGCCGGCGGCCGCGGCCGGUCACGUCGACGAGCACUCGGAGCAGGAGCAGGAGCCGGAGCUGGACGCGGUCCUCCCGGAGGGGUUCCUGGAGCGAACCAAGAACAAGGGCAUGGUCGUCAAGUCGUGGGCGCCGCAGGUGGAGGUGCUCCGGCACCGCGCGACGGGCGCGUUCGUGACGCACUGCGGGUGGAACUCGGUGCUGGAGUCCGUGGCGGCGGGGGUCCCGAUGCUGUGCUGGCCGCUGUACGCGGAGCAGAAGAUGAACAAGGUGUGGAUGACGGCGGGGGACGGCAUGGGCGUGGCGCUAGAGCUGGAGGGGUACCGGGACGGGUUCGUCGGAGCGGAGGAGGUGGAGGCCAAGGUGAGGCUGGUGAUGACGACGGAGGGCGAGGAAGGGGUCGUGCAGCUCAGGGCGCGGCUAAGGGGUCUCAGGGACGAGGCGGAGGCGGCGCUGGCGGACGGGGGCUCGUCGCGGGUGGACUUUCUCCGGUUCCUGUUGGACGUGAAGAAUCUCGAAGUCGGAGGGAGGGGAGCAGCUCAUCCAGUGAACAACCUGCAAAUCUUGAAUGCUGAAGCACCGUAG
rnacentral:rRNA from 1 species